UACGAAGGGGGCUAGCGUUGCUCGGAAUCACUGGGCGUAAAGCGCACGUAGGCGGCUUUCUAAGUCAGGGGUGAAAUCCUGGAGCUCAACUCCAGAACUGCCUUUGAUACUGGGAAGCUCGAGUCCGGAAGAGGUGAGUGGAACUCCGAGUGUAGAGGUGAAAUUCGUAGAUAUUCGGAAGAACACCAGUGGCGAAGGCGACACACUGGGCCAUUACUGACGCUGAGGCGCGAAAGCGUGGGGAGCAAACAGG
rnacentral:rRNA from 1 species